rnacentral:rRNA from 1 species
CGGGAAAUUCAAUGGGGUUUCCGGCGGCGUUAUCCGGAAUUAUUGGGCGUAAAGGGUCCGCAGGCUGCCCUUCAAGUCUGCUGUUAAAAAGUGGAGCUUAACUCCAUCAUGGCAGUGGAAACUGAUGGGCUUGAGUGUGGUAGGGGCAGAGGGAAUUCCCGGUGUAGCGGUGAAAUGCGUAGAUAUCGGGAAGAACACCAGUGGCGAAGGCGCUCUGCUGGGCCAUCACUGACGCUCAUGGACGAAAGCCAGGGGAGCGAAAGGGAUUAGAUACCCCUGUAGUCCUGGCCGUAAACGAUGAACACUAGGUGUCGGGGGAAUCGACCCCCUCGGUGUCGUAGCCAACGCGUUAAGUGUUCCGCCUGGGGAGUACGCACGCAAGUGUGAAACUCAAAGGAAUUGACGGA